GAGGAAGGUUGGGAUGACGUCAAGUCAUCAUGGCCCUUCAGCCUGGGCUACACAAAUGCUACAAUGGUCGGUACAGAGGGUUGCCAAGCCGCGAGGUGGAGCUAAUCUCACAAAACCGAUCGUAGUCCGGAUCGCAGUCUGCAACUCGACUGCGUGAAGUCGGAAUCGCUAGUAAUCGCAAAUCAGAAUGUUGCGGUGAAUACGUUCCCGGGCCUUGUACACACCGCCCGUCACACCAUGGGAGUGGGUUGCACCAGAAGUAGCUAGUCUAACCUUCGGGAGGA
rnacentral:rRNA from 1 species